rnacentral:lncRNA from 10 species
GAGACAGAGGUUGCAAUGAGCCGAGAUCGUGCCAUUGCACUCCAGCCUGGGCAACAGAGGUAGACUCUGUCUCAAAAAAAAAAAAAAAAAGAAAGAAAGAAAGAAAUUGGGGAAGGAGCAGGAUUAGAGGCAGGAAGACCAUUUAGAAUAGGCAGCAAUCUAUUCUAGAGGCAGCAGUCACAAUGAGGAAUGAAGAGGGCCUGAGCUAGAGAAGUGGACAGGCUGGCAAGAGGUUAAUAGGGUCUGGGGUUAGGGAGAGAGGAAAUGCAAGGCAGGCACUCAGAUCUGGCACCUAGGACAGGAAAUGGAGGAGGGAGAGGAGCAGGCUGGGAACAGGACAAGAGAAAAGAAUGAGUCUCAGCAUCUAGGCUUUGACUGAAGUUACAGGUUUCAUCUUUUUUUUUUUUUUUUUGACAGGGUCUCACCAUGUCGUCCAGGCUGCAGUGCAGUGGCAUCUGGCUCACAAGCAGCCUUUACCUCCAGGGUUAGAGACCGGGGUCUCACUGUGUCAUACAGGCUUGUCUGGAACUCCUGGGAUCAAGCGAACCUCCCACCUCUGCCUCCCAAAGUGUUGCGAUUAAAGGCGUGAGCCACCGUACCCAGACUCAUCCACUUUGUUAUUCAACAGAUAGUGAAUCCUCCUCUGUGCAAGUCCUGGAAUUAUGGUUUCAGGAUUCAUUGGCACAACAGUUGGCAACUGAAAUUAUGGGUAUAGACAGGUCAUCUAGGAAAAAAGUGUGUAAAAUGAGAAGAAAAGAAGGCCCAGAACAGAUCGCUAAGGGAGGACAGAAGAAGAGGAACCAGCCAGGCAACAAGACACGAAGGAGCCAGAGCAGUUGGAAGAAACCAGGAGAGUGAUGUCCCUAAAGCCAGUUUUUUGUUUGUUUUUGAGACAGAGUUUUGCUUUUGUUGCCCAGGCUGGAGUGCAAUGGCGUGAUCUCGGCUCACUGCAACCUCCGCCUCCUGGGUUCAAGCAAUUCUCCUGCCUCAGCCUCCCAAGUAGCUGGGAUUAUAGGCACCUGCCAUCACGCCCAGCUAAUUUUGUUUGUCUGUUUGUUUGUUUUUGAGACAGAGUCUCACUCUGUCAUCCAGGCUGGAGUGCAGAGACGCAAUCUCAGCUCACUGCAAGCUCCGCCUCCCGGGUUCACGCCAUUCUCCUGCCUCAGCCUCCCGAGUAGCUGGGACUACAGGUGCCCACCACCAAGCCCAGCUAAUUUUUGUAUUUUUAGUAGAGACGGGGUUUCACCGUGUUAGCCAGGAUGGUCUCGAUCUUCUGAUCUCGUAAUCUGCCCACCUCGGCCUCCCAAAGUGCUGGGAUUACAGGCGUGAGCCACUGCGCCCGGCCUGUUUGUUUUUUGAGAUGGAGUUUUGCUCUUGUUGCCCAGGCUGGAGUGCAAUGGUGCUAUCUCAGCUCACUGCAAUCUCUGCCUCCCGGGUUCAAGAGAUUCUCCUGCCUCAGCCUCCUGAGUAGCUGGGAUUACAGGUGCCCACCACCAUGCCUGGCUAAUUUUUGUAUUUUUAGUAGAGACGGGGUUUCACAAUGUUGGUCAGGCUGGUCCUGAACUCCUAACCUCAGGUGAUCCGCCCACCUUGGCAUCCCACAGUGCUGGGAUUACAGGCAUGAGCCACCGUGCCCAGCCCCUAAAGCCAGUUCAGAUGACCCUGAAGACAGGGUCCUCAGAAGCCUAGGGUGUCACAUGCAUCCAUGCUUCCAAGUCCACCAGUAAGAUAAGGUCUGAGGUGCAUCAUUGCUAAUCUGUCAUAGAGCAAUUCAAGGGUUCGGGUUGGGGUUGAGGCCAGACUAAGGAGAGCUGGGCAGUGGGAGGGAUAAGUGGAGAUAAUAAGUGUCCUUCAAGAGGAUUGGUUGUGAAGAGGAGAGAGAAGGUGAGAGGUGAAGAAAGGACAAGGGGUGUAAGGAGCUUCCCCAGCAAGCUGCAAGACCUGACCAUGAUUCAAUGCUCAUGCAAAAUGCCAGCUGAAAAGGGGAGGUUGAAUACACAGGAAGGGAGAUAGACCAUUAGGCAGGUUUUCUCCAAAAGCCUCAUGAUGCAUAACUAAGAUUGGGGUUUGAGAAUUGGAGGAUAGAGAAUUUAAGUUUGAUAUAAAGAAAAAAUAAGGAACAAAAGAACAGACCUGUGAAUCAGUGGAAAGGUCUUUGCAGACAAAGAUGGGACUGUUGGUACUUGUGAAUACUGCAGAAAGAGAUCCUAGCUCCAUAUACAGGUUGGACAAAAUGAGGGCUGAAGUGCCUUUCAAAGAUUUAAAUUCUUGAUCCCAUCCCACAUUUUAUUUUAUGGCGAGGGGGUGCACAAUUUACAAAUGAACUACAUAUUUCUGAUUGAGAAUGGCUAAUAAAAUUCUCAUUAUUUCAUUCAAGGUCCCUAAAUACCCACUGUGUUCCAAGCACUGGGUUGGGACACAGCAGAUCUGAGUUCCAUACACUAAGCCUUUUCCACUUAAUGUCAGUUAUUUAAAUGGAUCAGGUCAAGUGCGAUAGUGCGCACCUGUAAUCUUAGCUACUCAAGAGGCUGAGGUGGGAGGAUGGCUUGAGGCCAGGAAUUGGAGGCUGCAGUGUGCUAUAAUCACACCUGUGAAUAGCCACUGCACUCCAGCCUAGGCAAUGUGGCAAGAUCCCAUCUCUAAAAAUAAAAAUAAACAAUUUUAAAAGGGCUGGGCAUAGUGGCUCACAUCUGUAAUUCCAGCACUUUGAGAGGCCAAGGCCGGAGGAUUUUUUGAGGCCAGGAGUUUGAGAACAGCCUGGGCCACAAAGUAAGAUCCCCAUCUCUACAAAAAAAAUUUAAAAAUUAGCUGGGCAUGGUAGCAUGUACCUGUAGUCCAGUUUCUUGGGUGGCUGAGGCAGAAGGAUCCCUUGAACCCAGGAGAUCAAGGUUACAGUGAACUGUGAUCACACCUCUGUACUCCAGCCUGGAGUACACUGGGCAACAGAGUGAGACCCUGUCUCUUAAAAAAAAUAAAAAAUAAAAAAUGGGAUCAAUUUCUGUAUAAGUCAUUGUUUGCACUCACCUUGUUGGUAAACUGGGAGCAGCUGCGGCUGGAGGACAGUUGAGGCAUGUUAUCUUGGGAUUGCUGAAUGCUGCAGUUCACAGUGGGGAGGAUCUCCACUUCAUUCCUUCUUUACCAUCUCAAGAGCUCCUGAGAAAGCUGGAGGUUUGGCCGGGUAUGGUGGCUCAUGCCUGUAACCCCAGCAUUUUUGGAGGCUGAGGCGGGCAGAUCACUUGAGGCCAGGAGUUCAGGACCAGCCUGGCCAACAUGGUGAAACCCUGUCUCUACUAAAAAUACAAAAAUUAUCUAGGCAUGGUGGUGCGCACCUGUAGUCCCAGCUAUGUGGGAGGUUGAGGCAUGAGAAUCUCUUGAACCAGGAGGUGGAGGCUGCAGUGAGCCAAGAUUGUGCCACUGCACUCCAGCCUGAUCGAGAGAGUGAGACUCCAUCUCCAAACAAAAAAAAAAAAAAAAAAAAAAAAAAAAGGAAAAAGAAGAAAGGUGGAGGUUUUUGGAGCAUUCUCAGAGUGCAGUAUUUGUUUCUAAGUCUCAGCAGGGGAUGUAGAGAUGGGGCAGAGGCAGGUGGUUCUUCCAUUCCACCCCAAACCUCACUGGACUCAGACUCUCAGGGAUACACUAUAAUGACUGCUAACUUUGGUAGCACCUGCACCUAGUGUAGCUUCCUAAUGCUUCCGUGAAUCCCAGGGAGAACACUGUAAAAUGAUCAUAUGAUCUUUUAUUUCUCACUUAAUUCAUUCUGUGUCAUUCCAUUGGUUUGUGAAUUGUGUCAAUAGAUAGAAAGUUUGGACUGUGGGUGUCUGGAAAUAUAUCCACCCCUUCUACAUUAAUUCUUAUGAAAAAAUAUUUUAUUCACCUUUUUUACUGUAAGAUGAAUUUCCCAGUAAUGUAACCUUGAUGCAAAUAAAUGCUCUAACCGUUGUGCCAAAAGUUGCAAUUAAUAAACCCAAUGUCUUGUUCUUCUUCUCAACCCAAUUCUAAAAUGAGGGUUUUCUCUAAGAUGCAAAUUCUAACACACACGAAUAAUCUUCUCAUAUAAGGUUGAUGGUUUCUCUAACACAAAACUCUUAACAGUCUGGAUAUAAAGUGGCUGUACUAGGAUGUAUUCAAUUUCAUAAAGUUCUCUACAGCUUGUAGCUCCAUUAGAAACAAAUCUCAGCGUCUCAAAAACCCUCAGAAAACUAGGAAUAGAGGGAACUUCCUGAAUUUGAUUAAGAACAUCUACAAAACCCUGCAUUUAAUACUAUACUUAAUGGUGAAAAAUGGAAUGCUUUCUUUCUAAGAUUGGGAACAAGGCAAGGAUGUCCACUCUCACCACUCUUAUUCAACAUACAACUGAACAUUCUAGGCAGUGUAACAGGCAAGAAAGAAAAGAAAAGAAAAGGCACACAUUUCAGAAAGGCAAAAAUAAAAUGGUCUGUAUUUGCAGAUGAUACGAUGUGGUAGAAAGUCCCAAAGAAUCUACACACACACACACACACACACACACACACACACAUACACACACACAUACACACAUACAAAAUUCCUAGAAUCUAUAUACUAAUGAACAUAUGGAAACCAAAAUUAAAAAUAAAAUACCAUUUAUAAUCACUCAAAACAUGGAAUAUUUGGGUGGAAAUCUAACAAAACAUGUAUAGGAUUUCUAUGCUGAAAACUAUAAAAUGCUGAUGAAGGAAAUCAAAGAAUAUCUAAAUAAACUGAGAGGUAAAACUGUGUUCAUGGGUUGGAAGACUAAACAUAAUAAAGUUGUCAAUUAUUCCCAUAUUGGCACACUUUCUAUCAAAAUUCCAACAAAAUCUAUUUCUUGCAAAUAUUGACAAAACUUUUCUAAAAUUUAUGUGGAAAGGCAAAGGAACUAGAAUAGCUAGAAUAAUUUUAGAUGGUUUAUUAAAAUUUAGCUAAUUUUAGAGAAAAAUCAGUCUACCUAAGUUCAAAACCUGUUAUAUGGUCACAGUGUGGUUCUGGCCCAGGAAUAGCACACAGAUCAAUGGAACAGAACACAGAACUCGGAAACAGAGCCACACAACUAUUUUUGACUGCUGAUUUUUGACAAAGGUGCAAAAGCAAUCAAUGGAGACAAGUCUUUUCAACAAAUGGUGCUGAAGCAACUGGACAUCUAUAGGCCCCAAAAUCAACCAAACAACAAAACUUUGACAUAAGUCUCAUAUAUUGUACAAAAAUUAACUUAAAAUGGACCUCAGUGCCAGACGUGGUGGCUCACGCCUGUCAUCCUAACACUUUAGGAGGCCAAGGAGGGAGGAUCACUUGAGGCCAGAAGUUUGAGACCAACAUGGCAAGACCUUGUCUCUACAAAAAACACAAAAAUUUGUUGAGCAUUGUGGGGCACACUUGCAGUCCCAGCUACUACAGAGGUUGUGGUGGAAGGAUCGCUUGAGCUUGGGUGAUGGAGGCUGCAGCAAGCUAUGACUGCAUCACUGCAUUCCAGCCUGGGUGACAGAGCAAAAUCCUGUCUCAAAAAAAAAAAAAGACCUCAGACUAAAAUGUAAACAUAAGACCAUAAGACUUUCUGCUCACUUUGGCAACACAUAAACCAAAACUGGAAUGAUACAGAGUAGAUUAGCAUGGCCCCAUGUAAGGAUGAUAUAAAAAUUUGUGAAGCAUUUCAUAUUUUAAAAACAAUUCUAUAAAAAAUUUAGAAAAAAAAAAGAAGCACAGGAGAAAACAUUUGGGAUCUAGAGUGAGACAAAGAGCUCUUAAACUUAGCCCCCAAAACAUGAUUCAUAAAAGGAAACAUUUAUAUAUUGGACUUUGUCAAAAUUAAAAGCUUUUGCUCUGCAAAAGACCUUGUAAAGAGGAUAAAAAGACAAGCUACAGCUACAGACUGGGAGAAAAUAUUUGCAAACCACAUACCUGACAAAAGGACUAGUAACUAGAAAUAUGAAGCACUCUCAAAACUCAACAGCAAAAAAACAAGAAUAGAAUUAGAAAAUGGGCAAAAGACAUGAAGAGAUUUCACUGAAGAGGAUAUACAGAAGGCAAAUAAGCACAUGAAAAGAUGUUCAACAUUAUUAUUAGCCAUUUGGGAAAUGCAAAUUAAAAUCACAAUGAGAUAUCACUGCACUCCUCUCAGAAUGGAAAAAAUGAAAAAUAAGGACAACACCAAAUGCUAGUGAGAAUGCAGAGAAACUGAUCAAUUAUAUAUGUCUGGUGAGAAUGUAAAAUCAUACAGCCACUCUGGAAAACAGUUUGGCAGUUUCUUAUAAAAAUGAAACAUGUGCCAGGCACAGUGGCUCACGCCUGUAAUCCCAGC